AUAGAGAAGCUGAUUCCUUCCCCGUCCCCCUGCGAGAGUCUAGGAGACUCACAGAAUAGCGUCAGUGUUCGGGACAAGAAGGGGCCUUCCAGGAGUGUGCAUUUCACACCCUGCCCUCCAGGAGGGUGCAAAGAGCCUGAUGUGUCUCAUUGGCCAGUUCACUGAGUGAACAUCGCUACUGCGACCCGAUUCAGCUUUGAGGUGGUUCGCCAAGGACUUGGGGCUGGCUGUGCGUUGACAGCCAAGGGACCCGGGGAAGGAGCAGCACCCGAGGCAUGCAGGGGAGGUCUGGGGAUCACUGGCCCUUGUCCCGCCCACUGGGAGACCUGGAAGCCGAAGCUCACCGGUGGCUGGCAGAAGCGUGCUGCAAGGAAGAGAUCAUCAAAGAAAAAUCUGGAAAACAUUCAGGAACAAUUUGCAAAAGGCACGGAAUAUGCGGUCCCUUUGGGGCACACGGAGCCCCUGUUGUGUAUCCCACUUCUAAUUCCUUAACUUGCACCUUCAGAAAAAUGACAAAAGGAAGUGAUCAGAACGAACUUUAAAACUCUGCUACAUAGGAACUUGGAGUGGCCUGCGGAGCCUGUUCAGGCCUCGGUGGGUGUGUGCAUCUUAGCACUCAGGGCACUAGGGAGCCCCGGCCACCACCUCAGGGAGCCCCUCUGCUCCUGCUCCCAUCUCACUACGGAUCCUAGCGCCUCCUCCUGAGGGCCACCCUGCCCCACUGAGGGCGGAUCUGUCCCUGCUUGAUGAUGUCGGGCUGCAUGGUGCUCACGCCGGUCCCCAGGGUUGCUCCCUGCCCAGGCCUGUCACCGCAGUGCGAGCGCUCCACGGAGGGCAGCGUUGCCUCAGAUGUCCCGCGUCUGCUUCUCUAAGUGAUACUCCGGCCACGUGGCGGCGGCCCUGGCUGCUCUGAAGGCGGUGGUCACUAACCUCAGACCUUGGGAUAGUGCCUGGCGUCCCUGCUGACUUUAGGGGAAAAGCCCACCCCGUGGAGGCGCAGUUGGUCAGGACCUCGGACAGGGACCCUGGCUCCAAAUCGUUAUCCGCGCCUUCUCUGGUUUUUCCCUGCUUUCCUUUCCCUCUCUUCCGGGCCAGCCUUGAGCACGAAGCCUGGGAGGCGUCGCCUGGCACCUUUCACUGUUUCAGCACCCGCAGGCAGGGCCCGAGGUGGAGGCGGGGAUCUGAGUCUGGCCUCACUCCGCCUAAGCUCUAGCUGUCCCUGGGGUCUCCUGCCAGACCACAACGUGGGGGCCGAGCUUGUGGGCCCCAGCUGGCCCCUCCUGAACAUGCGGCUAAGCUCAGCAUGGUGACACUCCUAUAACCCAGCAGCACUCGGGAGCCAGAGGCUGGAGGGUUGCUAGUUUGAAGCCAGCCUGGGGAAUAUUGCGAGCCCCUGGCUCAAAACAAAACUAAACUAAACUAACACUGUGACUGCCUCUCUGUCGGUCCUUCUGUGCAUCUGGAAGCAAGGGUGGCUGGACCACACUCUGGGAUCGAGACUGAUGAGCAACUCUAUGCGCUAGACACGGGACAUUGUCAGCGUCCUGUGCUUCAGCCCCAGCUGCCACUAGCUCUGUGCCACCAAAGGUCCAGCAACAAGAUCCAGGGCUUGGAGGGCAACAUCAUCAUCCCAGAAAUCAAGGUUACAAUGCUGAGGACCUGCAUUACAGAUGAAGAAACCAAGGCGCAGAGAGGGUGGUCAAACAGGACCCCACAGCUCACCCAGACUGGAGACCCCAGAAACUCGGCCCUGUGAGUAGACACCGGUGCAGGAUGACAACUUUGAGCCACGAGUGAGGACGAGGUGACUCCACCAAUCCAUCCAUUCAUGCAGCAAAUACUCACUGAGCACCUGCUAUGUGCCAAGCACUGCUCAGGCAGCUGGCAGCAUCAGUGACCAAGACAAACCAGGUCCACUUCUCAUGAAACUCCCAUUGUGUUA